GUGAAAAAGGAAAAGUGUGAAUGAGAGUCGUCAAUUGUAUCUAUGGACAUAACUGAAACACAAUUAUUUACAAUUUCAUACAUAGUGGAGUUCACGUCAGAUAUUUGUUUACCACAUACUUAUUCAUAUAGUAUGUAAUUUAUGUUAGUGUAAAAUAGUAUGGAAAUUAUGUUGAUGUUAGAUAAAAAUAUAUUAUACAAAAUCGAUGAAUUGGAACAAUGUAUACAAACUAAAACACAAAUGAAUUAAAACAUAAUAUACAGUAUAGUACAAGUUUAAUUAAACUAUCAAGAAAAUAUGAACUACCAAAAAUCCUAAAUCAAAUAUAAACUCUAAACCCAAAUAGAAUAGAAAAAAAAAAUAAAUUAAUAGCAUAGUAUAUAUUGGUGAAAUUAUAAAAUGCCUAUGAUUGCAUGAAAAAAGUUAAUGAUGACUCCAAUCUCAACCCCACUUUCCAAAUACUAAACCCUAAACCAUAAUCACUAAACUCUAAACCCAAAUAUAAACCCUAAAUCCGAAUCACUAAAUUCUAAACCCAAAUAUAAACACUAAACCCUAAUCAUUAAACUCUAAA
rnacentral:lncRNA from 1 species